rnacentral:rRNA from 1 species
GAUGAACGCUAGCGGCAGGCUUAAUACAUGCAAGUCGAGGGGUAACAGGGGAGCUUGCUCCCGCUGACGACCGGCAAACGGGUGCGGAACACGUACAGAACCUUCCUUCGAGCGGGGAAUAGCCCAGAGAAAUUUGGAUUAAUACCCCAUAGUAUUACGGAGUGGCAUCACUUUGUAAUUAAAGAUUUAUCACUUGAAGAUGGCUGUGCGGCUGAUUAGGUAGUUGGCGGGGUAACGGCCCACCAAGCCUUCGAUCAGUAACUGGUGUGAGAGCACGACCAGUCACACGGGCACUGAGACACGGGCCCGACUCCUACGGGAGGCAGCAGUAAGGAAUAUUGGUCAAUGGACGAAAGUCUGAACCAGCCAUGCCGCGUGGAGGAUGAAGGCCCUCUGGGUUGUAAACUUCUUUUAUAUGGGACGAAAAA